AUUGAACGCUGGCGGAAUGCUUUACUCAUGCAAGUCGAACGGCAGCACGGACUUCGGUCUGGUGGCGAGUGGCGAACGGGUGAGUAAUGUAUCGGAACGUGCCCAGUCGUGGGGGAUAACGUAGUGAAAAUUACGCUAAUACCGCAUACGAUCUAUGGAUGAAAGCGGGGGAUCGCAAGACCUCGCGCGAUUGGAGCGGCCGAUAUCAGAUUAGGUAGUUGGUGGGGUAAAGGCCCACCAAGCCAACGAUCUGUAGCUGGUCUGAGAGGACGACCAGCCACACUGGAACUGAGACACGGUCCAGACUCCUACGGGAGGCAGCAGUGGGGAAUUUUGGACAAUGGGCGAAAGCCUGAUCCAGCCAUUCCGCGUGCAGGAUGAAGGCCCUCGGGUUGUAAACUGCCUUUGUACAGAACGAAAAGGUUUCUACUAAUACCAGGAGCUCAUGACGGUACUGUAAGAAUAAGCACCGGCUAACUACGUGCCAGCAGCCGCCGUAA
rnacentral:rRNA from 1 species